rnacentral:rRNA from 1 species
AGCGCGGGCGGGAAGACAAGUUGGAAGUGAAAUCUAUGGGCUCAACCCAUAAACUGCUUUCAAAACUGUUUUUCUUGAGUAGUGCAGAGGUAGGCGGAAUUCCCGGUGUAGCGGUGGAAUGCGUAGAUAUCGGGAGGAACACCAGUGGCGAAGGCGGCCUACUGGGCACCAACUGACGCUGAGGCUCGAAAGUGUGGGUAGCAAACA